rnacentral:rRNA from 1 species
GAUGAACGCUGGCGGCGUGCCUAAUACAUGCAAGUCGAGCGAACAGACGAGGAGCUUGCUCCUCUGACGUUAGCGGCGGAGGGGUGAGUAACACGUGGAUAACCUACCUAUAAGACUGGGAUACCUUCGGGAAACCGGAGCUAAUACCGGAUAAUAUAUUGAACGGCAUGGUUCAAUAGUGAAAGACGGUUUUGCUGUACCUUAUAGAUGGAUCCGCGCCGCAUUAGCUAGUUGGUAAGGUAACGGCUUACCAAGGCGACGAUGCGUAGCCGACCUGAGAGGGUGAUCGGCCACACUGGAACUGAGACACGGUCCAGACUCCUACGGGAGGCAGCAGUAGGGAAUCUUCCGCAAUGGGCGAAAGCCUGACGGAGCAACGCCGCGUGAGUGAUGAAGGUCUUCGGAUCGUAAAACUCUGUUAUUAGGGAAGAACAAAUGUGUAAGUAACUAUGCACGUCUUGACGGUACCUAAUCAGAAAGCCACGGCUAACUACGUG